GAUGAACGCUGGCGGCGUGCCUAAUACAUGCAAGUAGAACGCUGAAGGAAGGAGCUUGCUCUUUCCGGAUGAGUUGCGAACGGGUGAGUAACGCGUAGGUAACCUGCCUGGUAGCGGGGGAUAACUAUUGGAAACGAUAGCUAAUACCGCAUAACAGUAGAUGUUGCAUGAUAUCUACUUAAAAGGUGCAAUUGCACCACUACCAGCUGGACCUGCGUUGUAUUAGCUAGUUGGUGAGGUAACGGCUCACCAAGGCGACAAUACAUAGCCGACCUGAGAGGGUGAUAGGCCGCACUGGGACUGAGACACGGCCCAGACUCCUACGGGAGGCAGCAGUAGGGAAUCUUCGGCAAUGGGCGGAAGUCUGACCGAGCAACGCCGCGUGAGUGAAGAAGGUUUUCGGAUCGUAAAGCUCUGUUGUAAGAGAAGAACGAGUGUGAGAGUGGAAAGUUCACACUGUGACGGUAUCUUACCAGAAAGGGACGGCUAACUACGUG
rnacentral:rRNA from 1 species